AAGUCGAACGGAGCUUAGAGAGCUUGCUUUUUAAGCUUAGUGGCGAACGGGUGAGUAACGCGUGAGUAACCUGCCCUAGAGUGGGGGACAACAGUUGGAAACGACUGCUAAUACCGCAUAAGCCCACGGUACCGCAUGAUACUGAGGGAAAAGGAUUUAUUCGCUUUAGGAUGGACUCGCGUCCAAUUAGCUAGUUGGUGAGGUAACGGCCCACCAAGGCGACGAUCGGUAGCCGGUCUGAGAGGAUGAACGGCCACACUGGAACUGAGACACGGUCCAGACUCC
rnacentral:rRNA from 1 species